rnacentral:sRNA from 1 species
UUGACAGCCCUGGAGAAUGAAGUGAUUUAUCCACAGAUUACAUACAGCACAGGCAGCAGUAGAGCAGCUUCCCCUGCACUGCCAGACCAAAGUGCUUAAAUCCCAUCAUGGAGGCACCACUUUUAGGGACCCACCGGGCAAUUUAUUUUUCAUAAAUACCCAGUAUUUGGCCUUU